GACGUGUGGGAGUGCAUGCCACAUCAUCGCAGGCUGUAUGCUGCAGUCCCCGAUGGAGUUUAGAGAGAUAGUGGUAACGUUGAGGUGGUUGCCAUUGCAGUCAUAUCCUACCAGGCCGUAUGCUAUUUUGAUGAGGGUUUUACGUACAUGUUAUCGGUGAAAAUAAAUAUCAUGAAUGCUACCUGGGUUAUAAUUAUAUACAUAUAUGCAUACGUAUUGGUGGAUAGCAUCAGUAUUUGGUUUUGUGCGUAGCAUACAAGUGCUUUAUAGUUCUACGGCGCAGAUUGCUAUUCCUUGAGCUAAAAGGUUUCUUUCAAGAUACUCCGCAUAUGAAAUGAGUGGGUGGGUCGUCACAUAGGUCCUGUUCGUCUGGAUCUAAGUUAUCGAAACAGUCUUGACAAAGAUGACCGUUAUCUAAAUGGUAGACGGAACGUAUCAACCGAACACAGAGGCAAGACUGAACAUCCUCCGUCGCUUCCAGAUUGAAUGCGGGUACGGGCCCGUCUGGGUCCUCUAUGUUAGGGUUGAUGAACUCGCCACCUGUUCUGUACAUACAUACGAAAACAGUUAAUAUAUAUAUUUUAUAAUUUUUAUAAGUUUCGUUCGGACCCUUUGUACGAAUACUGUACCCCUGUAUGUAGUAUAAUAUAUAUAAUGUGUUAUGAUUA